CUCCGCAACCAGUAAAGAGGAGACGAGAGAGGACCAAGGCGCAAUCUGAUGACGAAGAAAGCUAAUCGUCAACCGACAACCACCGGAGACAGGCUCUUCUAUUCAGCGACGAAGUAUAUAUUUAGAUGAUGGAAACACAGUUGGUAGAGUUGAUGCAAACUAAACACAGUUGGUAGAGUUGAUGCAAACCAGUCCUGUUUUCUCUUCCAUACUGCAGCAGCCUGUAGUAGAACUUUUCCCACAUGUAAUCCAAAGUAGGUUGAUUAACUCUUUAUAAUUGGAUGAACUUAACUAUAAGAAUUAAGAUAUUAGAAGAUUUAGAUGAUCAAAUACGAGUAACACUGUGAAUUUUGAUGUA